rnacentral:lncRNA from 10 species
GUAUCAUAAAAGCUAUUCAAAUUAUAGCCCGGAAAGUAAAAAAGACUGGAAAAAUUUUUAGAGGCCUUAGAAUACAAUAUAAAUGGACACUAAAAGAAAGUUUUGAAGUUCACAGCAAUUAUUUUGUAGAAUAUUUCUCAAUUUAGAUUUAUCUGAUAUUAUCUAAUGGUUAGAUUUAGGUUACAAAUUUUUGGCAAGAAUCCCACAAAGUGUAACUAUGUUCAUCUUAGAGCCUCACAUCCAGAAGUGCAUAGUAUUGGUUUGUUAUGUGAUUUUUUUGUUUUUACCUUGAGACAGAGACUUGCUUUGUUGCCUAGGCUGGACUGAAGUGGCAUGAUCACAGCUCGCUGCAACCUUAACCUCUUGGUCUCAAUUGAUCCUCCUACCUGAACCUCUCAAGUAGAGCUGGGACUACAGUGCACACCACCAUGCCCAGCAAUGUGUGAAAGAGCCUCUUUCCCUACUGCUUCACCAAGUUUAAAACUUCAAAUUUUUUCAACUUGAUAGGUCAGAAGGAAACUACUUGCUCAAAAGGAGACCAGAGGAAUGAAAAUGUGGUAUAACCAGGAGUUGCGAAGUGGUCGUAGUUGUUCAUGUCUCAAUCUGGAUCAUCUUUGCUUUUUGCUUCUGCUUUGUGCUAUCCCUCUUCCCGUACCUCAGUUCUAUCUGGAACCAUGAUCUGUGACUGCCAUGGAAAAGUGUUGGGCAGGAGGAGGCCAGCUGGGUCUUUGAAGUUGACAAUGGAGCCAGGAAUGAAAGCUGCACUUAGGAUGAGAAUUGCUUUCCCUGGAGCCAAGUCAGCAAAUGCAGUCUGGUUGUCAGAGCUGAGAGGCUUCACCAAGUCAAGUAGGGGAGGACAUCUUCACUCUGCAACUUGCCCUACUGAAUGCAGAAAGUACUGUCUACUUAGAUAAAGCCUACACUAAAAGGGAAUUGAAUCUCUGCAAAUAAGUAUGUGGAUCUAAUUUCUACCUUCCAGAUUAAAAGUAUAAUUAAAAAUGAAAACCUUUGUAGGACUAAAUUGAUUUUGCAGACAAAUCUCACUUCUUAGCUUGAGCUGACUUAUUCCCAAUCUUAAACCCUAAUUAAUAACAUACAAGAAU